GAAAUGAGGUUCGUGGGAUUGUGC
rnacentral:siRNA from 1 species